rnacentral:rRNA from 1 species
AGUGAACGCUGGCGGCAGGCUUAACACAUGCAAGUCGAACGCCCCGCAAGGGGAGUGGCAGACGGGUGAGUAACGCGUGGGAAUAUCCCCUUUGGUUCAGGAUAGCCCCGGGAAACUGGGAUUAAUACUGGAUAAGAUCUACGGAUGAAAGAUUUAUCGCCGAAGGAUUAGCCCGCGUAAGAUUAGCUAGUUGGUGAGGUAAUGGCUCACCAAGGCUACGAUCUUUAGCUGGUCUGAGAGGAUGAUCAGCCACACUGGAACUGAGACACGGUCCAGACUCCUACGGGAGGCAGCAGUGAGGAAUAUUGGGCAAUGGGCUCAAGCCCGAUCCAGCCAUGCCGCGUGAGUGAUGAAGGCCCUAGGGUUGUAAAACUCUUUUAGUUGGGAAAAUAAUGAUGGUACCAACAGAAAAAGCUCCGGCUAACUUCGUGCCAGCCGCCGCCGUAA